ensembl:snRNA U1 U1 spliceosomal RNA
AUACUUACCUGGUAGGGGAAAUACCAUGAUCACAAAGUAGCCCUCCUAGAACAAGUCUUAUCCAUUGCACUCCAAAUGUACUGAGCUGACCCCUGUAAUUUCCCCAAAUGCAGGAAACUUGGCUGAAGGAAAGAAAAGGAAAAGAUCUCUUAUUGUUCUUGC